AUGGCUAGGUGGAAGGUGGACACAAUGGCUUUAAUCUUGUUGAGGAGUGGUCUUCCCAGAAUUGCGUUAUAGGCCAUUGAGACACGUACCACUUGAAAAGAUGUCAUCUCCGUAACCUGCUUCUGGCCAGAACCCAAAGUUAGUGGAAGCUCGACGACACCCUCUGGAGUGAUGACUCCUCCCCCAAACCCCUGAAGAGGAGUUUUAACCGCUUUGAG
rnacentral:lncRNA from 1 species